GUGCUCACUUCAGCAGCUCAUGUACCAUAAUUGGAGCGCUCCAGAGAUUAGCAUGGCCCCUGUGCAAAGAAGACACACAAAAAAGAUAUUUCUCCUUUACUUCU